UACGAAGGGGGCUAGCGUUGCUCGGAAUCACUGGGCGUAAAGGGUGCGUAGGCGGGUCUUUAAGUCAGGGGUGAAAUCCUGGAGCUCAACUCCAGAACUGCCUUUGAUACUGAAGAUCUUGAGUUCGGGAGAGGUGAGUGGAACUGCGAGUAUAGAGGUGAAAUUCGUAGAUAUUCGCAAGAACACCAGUGGCGAAGGCGGCUCACUGGCCCGAUACUGACGCUGAGGCACGAAAGCGUGGGGAGCAAACAGG
rnacentral:rRNA from 1 species